CAGUUGUGUAAAAUCUAUUCUGUGACAUGAUCCCAGGUCCUUUUUGGAGGGGUAAAGGAGCUGCUAAAUGUAGCAGAGAGUGCUCUUUGACAUCAGCAACUGUUAAUACAUAACCAGAGUUACCAGGGAGGGGGCAGCUUAGAAAGAAAAGGAACAAUGAACAGGAAGAAAAAUUAUAAUAAUUUUUGCACUGUACAGAAAAUACUCUUUCCUUCUAGGACAUGUUGUGCCCGGAGUUCUCCCUGUUCCAGGCUGCCUGCUUUACAGCUCUUUGUCUGCUUUCUGUGAUCAUAAAUCUUGUAAAUCUCAUUGCUUCCAUGCCUCUACACAUCCUUCUCAGAAACAUUUUCUGCAGAUUUUGCAUCUGUGAUCCUGGAAAAUAAAUCCCUACGGAGGCUGUUAAUGCAAAUUGGCUGUGUUUAAGUGAGUGGCUGAUGCCCGUCAGCUGUGGUGAGAGGUGGCUGUAGCGUAUCUGCUCCAGCUGUAAUUAGGGGCUGAACCAUGAAGAAGUAGUACGUGGUGUGGUUGAGCUGUUCCAGGCUUGGGGGUGGUUGUGGGAAGCUGCUGAAGCCCUGGAGGUCCAGGAGGGCUGAUAGGUGACAGGAGCUGUGAAAUAGGAGCGUGAGCAUGCUGCAGCUGUUACAAGACACAGCAGAGCAAGAUUAAUUUUUUCUCUUGGCAAACAAAGAAAGAGAGGGCACAUGGAAGUCAUACAGCCACAAGCAAGAGCAAGGCUGGGUGCAGAGAUGAGCUCCAUGAACCGAAGGGAGAUGAGUGCAGGAGGAGCCCGGUGAGCCUGCCCCAGGAUCGUGGAGCAUCCAACAGCACCAGAGCCAGGGUCGUGGAGCAUCCAACAUCACCAGAGCCAUGCUCCCAGGCAGACAAACGGGCUCUGCCUGCUUCCCGUGGCUGUGCUUGCUGCUUCUCAGUGGCCCCGCUCUGCAGCCAGGUAUUGCUGCGUCCAGAGAUUCCCCUGCUGAGGGGACAAAUGGCCCUUCCUCUAACAAAACAAAUGUGACAGUUUAUCGCUGUAAAGAUUGUGACAGCAAAAUUUGCCAAUCAUCCAAUUACGAGAGGUUUGAAAUAAUCGGAGAAACACAAAAUGGGACAUUAUCUAAUGACAUUAUUCAGUUGGUGACCAGUGAAACUCACAUCAUUAUGUGCUUUCAGCAAGAAAUUAAGUAUCUUAACGAAGUUUAUGCCGUCAUCUUGGAGAACAACUCGGGAAUAGGAGAAUCCUGUGGCAAGCUGGAGCUUGGAGAAAAUGGGGCGCAUCACAUCACAGAGGAGGAAAAAAUCUGCUGUGCAGUAGAGACAAAUGAAACCAAAGCAUACGUCAGGAACCUGAACUGCUACAUUGAAAGCAAGAAAACAAGCUCAAUAUACAGGCCCCCUGAUGAUAUAACUCUAGAUAAUCCAACAGAUCCAGGCAACAGUAAGAGAAUUGGCAUCACUGCCGCUUUCCUGAUUCUUGGGGUUUGUGCAGCAGCAGCACUGGUGCUGUAUUGUGUUCAAAGAACCCGAAAUGGUCAAGGACCUGUCAUAGUGCUCUAUCAGAUUCUUAAAGGUGUUAUAAAACCCAAUCAGGCUUACGAAAGCAGAAGGUCACAGCCAUUUGAAGCAUCAUCUAUAAAUGAGACAAACCAGGCCUUCAUGACAGCAGCAUCCUUCUCAAACAAAGUCUAGCCAUCACCUGAAGAAACACAUUUCUUUUAUACAAGACCUCACAGUAGUUUUUACAAAUGUACUUUCACCACUCCCAUGCAUUCACCAAGGACUGCAAUUGCCCUAGUUAUCCAACUCCAGGUUUUUGCAAGCAAUAUGAGAAGCUUCCUGGGGCUACUGUCCUCUCCUGGUACUUGGUUGAGGAGCCCCAGCAUCACAAGAUGCAUGGCUUGUUCGGCAGCACAGGCUUAAACCAGCUGAAUCCUUCCAAUGCUUUUUAUGGUUGAAGCUACCAGUUCUCCUAAAAUCCUUUGGAGAACUGCAUCUGUGCUCAGGCAGGCCGUCUUGAACCCUGAUGGAGAUGUUCUCUGCAUAUCUUCCAUGUCAUAACACAGUAGCGUGGCCAUAGUUUUUCAUCCGUUAACUCCCAGGUGGGUUCUAGAUUUCCUCAAGGAGGAGUUUUGUAGAACCAUGGAACAGCUUGGGUUGGAAGGGACCUUAAAGACCACCCGCUAGCUCAGGCUCUCCAGAGCCUCAUCCAGCCUGUACAGGUGACCGGCUUGUUUCAUUAGAGCGGUUUGGCCUUCUGAGCCAAAAGUCUGGUUUUGCAGCCACCUGCAGGCUGAAGGCUACUCUGCGGGCUCUGUCCUGUGCAGCAGAGACAGGAGGGCCUGCACUUCAGGGAUCCCCAAAGGGUAGUUCUCAGGCAGCAUGUCAUCUUCAAAUGAUUUACUACUCAUGCUUGAUUUGAGUAAAUCCUCAAAAUUUGCAUUAUACCCAAACCAGUAUCAGGCUUUUGAGCAAAAAGCAGCAGCAUCCAAAUUGCAAAAGCACAUCCCCGAAGCGGGAUGGAUGCUUGUUGAAUCAUUUUUUGCAUGGUUUAACCAACCAUAAACCUGUAAGGUGGCACUAUCGGCAGGAAAUCUCAGAGGAUAUAGGAUGUUGUGUGACUCUGUAUACAUAAAAAAUACCAAAAAAAAGUAUACAAAAGCAUACAAAAAAGUUAUGGACCUUUUUUUUUUUUCUUAACCUCAAAACUUUGGAAGGUCCUUCAAAUACAAGUAGGGAAUUUCUGUGUUGUUUUGCAACAGUAUGAUUAGUUCAACGUGCAUUUUUCCAGUGCAGCUAUCAUGGGUGUUACUUUUGGCUCUGUUUCUCUGCUGUAAGUCAUUGCUGCGAGAGCCUCUGUGGAAGUGCCAAGCAUUCCCAUUGAUGCAUUGAGCUGUGUGCUGGGCUUCAGGAGAUUCCAGUGAUGCGUACCUGAUUUUCCUAGACCUAGAAAAACACUGUCUUAAAAUUAAAGGCUAUCGCAGUUCUCUGAUGUGGUCUUUUAAUGGGGAAAAACAAAUGUGUGUAUACAUAUUCGUGUGUGCGUGUAGGGUGGUCAAAUUGAUGACUGACACUGUUCUUUUUUUGUGUACCCUCAGAUUUUGAGUUUUUUGAAAAAGAAACAACAUGCUAUUUGACAACUUAUGUUGUGGUAAUUUGGGGGAUUCAAGUUUAAUAGCGUGCAAGUUUAAUUUCUAAUCUUUAACACCAGUUGGGGCCAGAGAGCUAGUCAAGUCUUGAGAAUAAAGGUUACCUGCCCGGUUCCGCGCA
ensembl:lncRNA